CCUACGGGAGGCAGCAGUGGGGAAUCUUGCGCAAUGGCCGAAAGGCUGACGCAGCGACGCCGCGUGCGGGAGGAAGCCCUUCGGGGUGUAAACCGCUGUCAGGGGGGAAGAACCUCCGGGGUCGGAAUACGGCUUCGGACUGACGGUACCCCCAGAGGAAGCGCCGGCUAACUCCGUGCCAGCAGCCGCGGUAAU
rnacentral:rRNA from 1 species